rnacentral:lncRNA from 1 species
CUUUCGCCGAGGACGAAGUGAAUGUGGACGGCGGGAGUCAAAGGCUUGCAAGGCAAAGCUCGGCGUUUCCCUCAGAGACGGCUCCUCGGAGGCUGGAGUUCAAGGAAAGAGAAAGAGAGAAAGAAAGAGAGAGAGAGAGAGAGCCCGACCGACCGGCUGAGGGAGAACUGCUGCGUCGCGGCUGAGCAAUCGGCGAGGACAUGACGGCUUAGUAGGAAACUAAAGGCUGGGCUCGGAGGAGACGCCCGUUUCGAUCCCGAGCUUAGCCCACAGUUGCUGACCGCGGGGUAGGUUAGGCCGCUCUCUAUUCUGCCCCCCGAAGUGCACAUAAAUCUCGCGGGCCUUUUCGCUAUUUUCUCUUCCAGGCUCUGGGCACGUGUCUGUGUUGAGAUAGCAUCCAGUUAAAGGGAGGCGCGUUAAGGCGAGGUCUGCGUUCCUUGGACAAAGGUCAGCUUUCGUCGGGGUUGGGCUGUUUAAACAAAAGAAACAAAAGACCGGAGAGGCGUUUUUUUUCUGUCGGGAGCAAAAGAUUUGAGAUGGAGUUGCUGGGAAGUUCCCCGAAAGGGUGCUGAGGAAACCGCCUCUUUUCGGAUUGCUCAUUGCACGAAGCGGGAGGGACGGAUGCGGCGCUCCGGUUUGUGCUGGCGGAAGUUAACUAAAUUCAGUAGCAGUUUCUCCAAAUGACAUGGUGAGAACUGAAUGCUUGCAGACUCACUAGCUUCUAACACAUUCUUUCCAAAGUAUCCAUUGUCAUGAGGUGUUCCCUGAAACGAUCACUUGCAACAGCCUUUUUUCUCUUUGUGUUCCUGCUCAUCAUGAAUCUGACUUCUUGGCACCAUGAGGAUCUUGUGAUGAAUGAUAUUCAGAAAUGGGCUCAAACAGUGGGCCUGCCUCAUAUUGUGACUGACUGGACCGUUUAUAGUCUCCGAAUGUUUAUCAAUGCCACCAACACGCUGAAUAUCUCUUAUGACUACCUUGCUGGGUUGCCUCCACUCGAGAAAAGUAAGUACCAGCAAAAGGUAGAUCAAAUACAGGUAAUUCUUGACUUAUGACCACAAGUGGGACCAAAAUUUCCAUCAUAAGAUAGUGCAGUCAUAAAAGGAGUCAUCACAUGACCAGACCCAAUUUUAUAACCAUUUUUACCACAGGCAUUUAAGUGAAUCAGCAUGGAUAUUAAGCAAAUCAUGCAGUCAUUAAGCAAAUCCUGGUUCUCCAGUUGACUUUCCUUAUGGAAAGCCACCUGGAAAGGUUACAAAUAGCAAUCAU